rnacentral:rRNA from 1 species
AUUGAACGCUGGCGGAAUGCUUUACACAUGCAAGUCGAACGGUAGAGGGGGCAACCCCUCGAGAGUGGCGAACGGGUGAGUAAUAUAUCGGAACGUGCCCAGUCGUGGGGGAUAACGUAGCGAAAGUUACGCUAAUACCGCAUACGAUCUAAGGAUGAAAGCGGGAGAUCGCAGGACCUCGCGCGAUUGGAGCGGCCGAUAUCAGAUUAGGUAGUUGGUGGGGUAAAGGCUCACCAAGCCAACGAUCUGUAGCUGGUCUGAGAGGACGACCAGCCACACUGGAACUGAGACACGGUCCAGACUCCUACGGGAGGCAGCAGUGGGGAAUUUUGGACAAUGGACGCAAGUCUGAUCCAGCCAUUCCGCGUGCAGGAUGAAGGCCCUCGGGUUGUAAACUGCUUUUGUACGGAACAAAAAGGUCUCUCUUAAUACGGGGGACUCAUGACGGUACCGUAAGAAUAAGCACCGGCUAACUACGUGCCAGCCGCCGCCGUAAAAC